rnacentral:rRNA from 1 species
ACUCCUACGGGAGGCAGCAGUGGGGAAUAUUGCACAAUUGGGGAAACGCUGAUGCAGCGACGCCGCGUGGAGGAUGACGGCCUUCGGGUUGUAAACUCCUUUUGUCCGGGACAAUGGUGUUGGUACCUGACGAAUAAGCCACGGCUAACUCUGUGCCAGCAGCCGCGGUAAGACAGAGGUGGCGAGCGUUGUUCGGAAUUA